GACGAACGCUGGCGGCGUGCUUAACACAUGCAAGUCGAACGGAAAGGCCCUGCUUUUGUGGGGUGCUCGAGUGGCGAACGGGUGAGUAACACGUGAGUAACCUGCCCUUGACUUUGGGACAACUUCAGGAAACUGGGGCUAAUACCGGAUAGGAGCUCCUGCUGCAUGGGGGGGGUUGGAAAGUUUCGGCGGUUGGGGAUGGACUCGCGGCUUAUCAGCUUGUUGGUGGGGUAGUGGCUUACCAAGGCUUUGACGGGUAGCCGGCCUGAGAGGGUGACCGGCCACAUUGGGACUGAGAUACGGCCCAGACUCCUACGGGAGGCAGCAGUGGGGAAUAUUGCACAAUGGGCGGAAGCCUGAUGCAGCAACGCCGCGUGCGGGAUGACGGCCUUCGGGUUGUAAACCGCUUUCGCCUGUGACGAAGCGUGAGUGACGGUAAUGGGUAAAGAAGCACCGGCUAACUACGUG
rnacentral:rRNA from 1 species